rnacentral:rRNA from 1 species
UUUUUUUCAUGCCAAUUAUAGUUAUUUAAGAUAAAUAUAAUCUAUAAUCCAAUAGAAAGAUUUAACUAUUAAAUG